CAAGCUGGAGCUUGUUAAGCGCUUUAUUUACACUAAAAGGAAAAUUGUUUAAAUCAAUUUAGUUUGA
rnacentral:tRNA from 1 species